CCUACGGGGGGCUGCAGUGGGGAAUAUUGGACAAUGGGCGAAAGCCUGAUCCAGCCAUGCCGCGUGUGUGAAGAAGGCCUUCGGGUUGUAAAGCACUUUCAGUGGGGAAGAAAGCCUUGGGGCUAAUACCCUCGAGGAAGGACAUCACCCACAGAAGAAGCACCGGCUAACUCCGUGCCAGCAGCCGCGGUAAUACGGAGGGUGCGAGCGUUAAUCGGAAUUACUGGGCGUAAAGCGCGCGUAGGCGGUCUGAUAAGCCGGUUGUGAAAGCCCCGGGCUCAACCUGGGAACGGCAUCCGGAACUGUCAGGCUAGAGUGCAGGAGAGGAAGGUAGAAUUCCCGGUGUAGCGGUGAAAUGCGUAGAGAUCGGGAGGAAUACCAGUGGCGAAGGCGGCCUUCUGGACUGACACUGGCGCUGAGGUGCGAAAGCGUGGGUAGCAAACAGGAUUAGAUACCCCGGUAGUC
rnacentral:rRNA from 1 species